GAACAAACUGGAGAAAAGAGACAAAGACACAUCAUCAACAUUUAAGUGAAAUGUUCUAUAGUCAUUUUUUUAUUCUGCAGGAUAAUCCUGGGACUUUUAAUGGGCGAUUAGCUAUAGCCACGUUAACGCGUUAAACUGUCCUUGACUCAGCUUCUACUGUUCUGAGAUCAGUUAUGAUAUCGCACACAUUACACGCAUGCGUAGACGAAUGCGGAAACUAAACUUCCGUAUUAAGCGUCAAGAGGGAAAAUUAGCAAGUAAACGAGCAAAUGACUUUAGCAUUAUCACACAGCCGCGCUGAUAUUCAGUACAACACAUCCUCCAGUGUGAUUUAGCUUUUAUACAACAGUUCUACGAGCGCCAUGUUUAACAGUAAUAAGCUACAGAUUAUGAUUUGUUUGUUUUGGCUACGCCAACAACAACUGGACUGGCACUGAACUGUUGCUAAGCAACGCUUUCCCGACCUGCACAGUGCACACUAGCUUGCUGCCUUGGCUACACACUACCUCAGGUGUGCACUGAAGCAAAGAUCCUCUUUAGCAUUCAGGCUUCUUUCCUUAAUAGAUCCUCUGCCUUGUGACCGGACAGUGUCCUUGUCAGUUCAUGGAAGGAGAAAGGUGAAGAUGUCCAGGCAGCUCAACAUACUGAGACACAGACAGAUACUCACAUUGAAAAGGGAUCUUACGAGUUACAAUUUCCCACAGGACGAUACCAAAGCUGAAAGACAACAUUUGUAGAACGCCGUUGAGUUCCUUGAGGGCUUUUUCUACGUCAUCAGAGACUUGGACUGUCCCUCUCUGUUGGAUGGACUUCACCAGCUGCUCCAGGGAUUGGACUCGGCCAAAAACACGACGGCAGCUCUUCUUAUUGGCCUU